GCGAGUUCCAACGGUGAAUGUCUCGGUUCCCGCAACGAUGAAGGACGCAGCAAAAUGCGUUACGCAAUGUGAAUUGCAUCAUUCACGAAUCAUCAGAUUUCUGAACGCUCUUGGUGCUUCGAAGCCCGCUUCGGAGCAUGCGUGGCUCAGGGUCUUU
rnacentral:rRNA from 1 species